rnacentral:rRNA from 1 species
UCAAGUUACUAAGGGCACACGGUGGAUGCCUUGGCAGUCGAACCGAUGAAGGACGUGGCUACCUGCGAUAAGCCUCGGGAAGCUGGAAGCAAGCGUAGAUCCGAGGAUCUCCGAAUGGGGAAACCCAGUGGGGCGAACCCCCACUACCCAUGACUGAAUACAUAGGUCAUGUGGAGGGAACCCAGGGAACUGAAACAUCUAAGUACCUGGAGGAAAAUAAAGAAACCUCGAUUCCCCCAGUAGCGGCGAGCGAAAAGGGAAUAGCCUAAACCGGCUCCUACGGGAGCCGGGGUUGUAGGACCGGCAACGUGGACUCGAGCGUAUAGCGGAAGCGCACUGGAAAGGCGCGCCAUAGCGGGUGAUAGCCCCGUACGCGAAAUGCGCGGAAGCCUAGCCGGCACCUGAGUAGCGCGAGUCACGUGGAACCUCGCGUGAAUCUACGGGGACCACCCCGUAAGGCUAAAUAUUCCGACUGACCGAUAGUGAACAAGUACCGUGAGGGAAAGGUGAAAAGCACCCCGUGAGGGGAGUGAAAUAGUACCUGAAACCGUGUGCUUACAAGCAGUCACAGCCCUAUGCAUAUCUUCGGAUAUGAACGGGUGGUGGCGUGCCUCUUGAAGCAUGAUCCUGCGACUUACUGGUAGUGCCGAGUUUAAGCCGAUAGGCGGAGGCGUAGCGAAAGCGAGUCUGAACAGGGCGUUCAGGCGCUAUCAGUAGACCCGAAACCGGAUGAGCUAGCCAUGGCCAGGUUGAAGCUUCCGUAAAAGGAAGUGGAGGACCGAACCCGUUGAGGUUUAAAACUCUUGGGAUGAGCUGUGGUUAGGAGUGAAAAGCUAACCGAAUCCGGAGAUAGCUGGUUCUCCCCGAAAUAGUUUUAGGACUAGCCUCGGGGGUUCACCGAUGGUUGUAAAGCACUGAUUGGGCUAGGGGGCUCACCAGCUUACCAAACCCUGUCAAACUCUGAAGGCCGUCGGUUCAUACCCCGGGAGUCAGUCUGCGUGAGCUAACUUUCGCAGACAAGAGGGAAACAACCCAGAACGCCAGUUAAGGUCCCCAAGUCAUGGCUAAGUGGGAAAGGAUGUGGAGACGCUAGGACAGCUAGGAGGUUGGCUUAGAAGCAGCCAUUCCUUUAAAGAGUGCGUAAUAGCUCACUAGUCGAGUGUCUCUGCGCCGAAGAUGAUCGGGGCUAAGCCAUGCACCGAAACUGCGUCAGUGCUGCUAAGCAGUGCUGGGUAGGGGAGCGUUCCGUAAGCCGUUGAAGCGGUACCGUAAGGAGCCGUGGAGGUAUCGGAAGUGCGAAUGCAGGAAUUAGUAACGAUAAGAAGGGUGAGAAUCCCUUCCGCCGAAAGCCUAAGGGUUCCUGAGCAAGGGUCGUCCACUCAGGGUUAGGCGGGACCUAAGGCGAGGCCGAAAGGCGUAGUCGAUGGACAGCAGGUCAACAUUCCUGCCCCGCCGUCGUGGAGUGAUGGGGUGACGCAUUAGGAUAGGCCAUCCGGAGCUAUGGCUAUGCCCGGCGGCGUACGAAGUCUGGAGGGAUAGGAAAAUCCGCCCUCCGCGUAGAUGACGUACGUCGGGAAGGUCCUACGGGACUGAUAACUGGUUGAAUCCACGGUGCCAAGAAAAACCUCUAAACGUUGAAGCGAUGGCGCCCGUACCAAAACCGACACAGGUAGGCGAGUGUAAGAGCACUAAGGCGCGCGAGAGAACCCUGGUUAAGGAACUCUGCAAAAUAGCCCCGUAACUUCGGGAGAAGGGGUCCCACGUGUAAGGUUGUCCGCAAGGAUCGCCUGAGGUGGGCGCAGUGAAUUGGCUCUAGCGACUGUUUACCACAAUCACAGCACUCUGCUAACCCUUAUAGGGGAUGUAUAGGGUGUGACACCUGCCCGGUGCUGGAAGGUCAACGGGAGGCGUGCAAGCGCCGAACUGAAGCCCCAGUGAACGGCGGCCGUAACUAUAAAAUUGACCGUUGUAGUUACGCAAAUAAACUCAGCCAUAUGCUGGAAACUCCGAGAAUCCUCCGCUACUCGCCACAUCGCUUAUGAUGGCGGCAGUGACAACGCGUGAGGUGCGGACAAUCAGCAGGAAAGACUCCCGCGGUGUUGACGAUAUCGAUCAUCAACCUGUUGGGAGAAUCCUCAGAGGCCAUACGCUGAGCGAACUCGAAGCGAUCAACCAUCGCCGCCUGCUUCGAGUAGAUGAUAUGGUCCGAUCUCCAUGGCGACAUGGAGGGCAGAAAUUGCCGCACUGGUUGAAUUCUGACCGGUGUUAACAGUAAGAACGGUCCUAAGGUAGGAAUGCUGCCCCCCUCAUCAGUAAUGGUGAGGUGCGCAUCUGGCUAUAUGCUGGAAACCCUGAGAAUCCGCCGGUACUAGCCCUCAAGCGGGCAGUGACAAUCCGCGCGGCGCAGGCAAUCAGCAGGGAAGUCCGCUGCCACAUUGGCAUGACCCCUCAGAGACCACACGCCGGACGUCCGGCUAUUCGGACGAAGAUAUGGUCCCAUCUGCAUGGCGACGUGCAGGGACAGCAGCCAAGGACUGCUGUCCGCCCGGUAAGUUUGGGCAAGACUAAAGAGCGAAAUUCCUUGUCAGGUAAGUUCUGACCUGCACGAAUGGUGUAACGACUGGAGCGCUGUCUCAACCAGGGACUCGGUGAAAUUGAAUUGGCUGUAU